rnacentral:miRNA from 1 species
ACGACGAACUUAGGUGUUUAUGACGUCGAUAUUCCACGUCAUAAACACGAUCAACUUUGGUGUUUAUGAAGUCGAUAUUCGACGUCAUAAUCACGAUCUAUUUAGGUGUUUAUGACGUCGAUAUUCGACGUCAUAAACACAAUCAAAUUUGGUGUUUAUGACGUCGAUAUUCGACGUGAUAAACACGAUUAAAUUUGGUGUUUAUGACGUCGAUAUUCGACGUAAUAAACACGAUCAACUUUGGCGU